rnacentral:tRNA from 1 species
GCGGAGAUGGCGGAAUUGGCAGACGCGCAAGACUAAGGAUCUUGUGCCCAAUUACGGGCGUGAGGGUUCAAGUCCCUUUCUCCGCA